rnacentral:rRNA from 1 species
AGUGAACGCUGGCGGCAUGCCUUACACAUGCAAGUCGAACGGUAACAGGUCUUCGGAUGCUGACGAGUGGCGAACGGGUGAGUAAUACAUCGGAACGUGCCUAGUAGUGGGGGAUAACUACUCGAAAGAGUGGCUAAUACCGCAUGAGAUCUACGGAUGAAAGCAGGGGAUCGCAAGACCUUGUGCUACUAGAGCGGCCGAUGGCAGAUUAGGUAGUUGGUGGGAUAAAAGCUUACCAAGCCGACGAUCUGUAGCUGGUCUGAGAGGACGAUCAGCCAAACUGGGACUGAGACCCGGCCCAGACUCCUACGGGAGGCAGCAGUGGGGAAUUUUGGACAAUGGGCGCAAGCCUGAUCCAGCAAUGCCGCGUGCAGGAUGAAGGCCUUCGGGUUGUAAACUGCUUUUGUACGGAACGAAAAGCCCCGGGUUAAUUCCCUGGGGUCAUGACGGUACCGUAAGAAUAAGCACCGGCUAACUACGUGCCAGCAGCCGCUGUAA